GCCGACAUGGCCGAGUGGCCCAGGCACGUGAUUGCAAACCACGUUACGAGAGUUCAAUUCUCUCUGUCGGCUCCA
rnacentral:tRNA from 3 species